GACGAACGCUGGCGGCGUGCCUAAUACAUGCAAGUCGAGCGAAGUUUUUCUGGUGCUUGCACCGGAAAAACUUAGCGGCGAACGGGUGAGUAACACGUAAAGAACCUGCCUCAUAGACUGGGACAACUAUUGGAAACGAUAGCUAAUACCGGAUAACAGCAUUAACUGCAUGGUUGAUGUUUAAAAGUUUGUUUUGCUAACACUAUGAGAUGGCUUUGCGGUGCAUUAGCUAGUUGGUGGGGUAAAGGCCUACCAAGGCGACGAUGCAUAGCCGACCUGAGAGGGUGAUCGGCCACACUGGGACUGAGACACGGCCCAGACUCCUACGGGAGGCAGCAGUAGGGAAUCUUCCGCAAUGGGCGAAAGCCUGACGGAGCAACGCCGCGUGAGUGAAGAAGGAUUUCGGUUCGUAAAGCUCUGUUGUUAGGGAAGAAUGAUUGUGUAGUAACGAUACACAGUAGAGACGGUACCUAACCAGAAAGCCACGGCUAACUACGUG
rnacentral:rRNA from 1 species